rnacentral:rRNA from 1 species
UGAGGAAUAUUGGUCAAUGGACGAGAGUCUGAACCAGCCAAGUAGCGUGAAGGGUGAAGGUCCUACGGAUUGUAAACUUCUUUUAUAAGGGAAUAAACCCUCCCACGUGUGGGAGCUUGUAUGUACCUUAUGAAUAAGCAUCGGCUAACUCCGUGCCAGCAGCCGCGGUAAUACGGAGGAUGCGAGCGUUAUCCGGAUUUAUUGGGUUUAAAGGGAGCGCAGACGGGUCGUUAAGUCAGCUGUGAAAGUUUGGGGCUCAACCUUAAAAUUGCAGUUGAUACUGGCGUCCUUGAGUGCGGUUGAGGUGUGCGGAAUUCGUGGUGUAGCGGUGAAAUGCUUAGAUAUCACGAAGAACUCCGAUUGCGAAGGCAGCACACUAAUCCGUAACUGACGUUCAUGCUCGAAAGUGUGGGUAUCAAACAG